rnacentral:miRNA from 1 species
UCCGAGCCAUACAGAACAAAGGAUUAUGAAUUGACCAAUACCUUAGGUAUUGGUCAAUUCAUAAUCCUUUGUUCUGUAUGGCUCGGACUGAUA